UGGGGAAUAUUGCACAAUGGGCGCAAGCCUGAUGCAGCCAUGCCGCGUGUAUGAAGAAGGCCUUCGGGUUGUAAAGUACUUUCAGCGGGGAGGAAGGGAGUAAAGUUAAUACCUUUGCUCAUUGACGUUACCCGCAGAAGAAGCACCGGCUAACUCCGUGCCAGCAGCCGCGGUAAUACGGAGGGUGCAAGCGUUAAUCGGAAUUACUGGGCGUAAAGCGCACGCAGGCGGUUUGUUAAGUCAGAUGUGAAAUCCCCGGGCUCACCCUGGGGACUGCGUCUGAUACUGGCAAGCUUGAGUCUCGUAGAGGGGGGUGGAAUUCCAGGUGUAGCGGUGAAAUGCGUGGAGAUCUGGAGGAAUACCGGUGGCGAAGGCGGCCCCCUGGACGAAGACUGACGCUCAGGUGCGAAAGCGUGGGGAGCAAACAGG
rnacentral:rRNA from 1 species